rnacentral:rRNA from 1 species
UACGGAGGGGGCUAGCGUUGUUCGGAAUUACUGGGCGUAAAGCGUACGUAGGCGGCUUUGUAAGUUAGAGGUGAAAGCCCGAGGCUCAACUCCGGAAUUGCCUUUAAGACUGCAUCGCUUGAAGCAUGGAGAGGUUAGUGGAAUUCCGAGUGUAGAGGUGAAAUUCGUAGAUAUUCGGAAGAACACCAGUGGCGAAGGCGACUAACUGGACAUGUAUUGACGCUGAGGUACGAAAGCGUGGGGAGCAAACAGG